UUUCGCUUUCCGGGGCAGUGGCUGCUGUCAGAAUCCCUUCUUUGAGGAGGCACCUGCUCUUCCUCUUUUCUCCAGCUUUCCAUGAGCUGUGGGGAGUAGCUUGGGUGUCCCCUCACUCUUACUAGAUAGAAAUCAAGAAAGCGCCUUGAGGCGAGAGAAGAGUCCCGUCAGGAGGCCCAGUGGGGUCCUCCACACUCCACGGUCCCCGCCUCCGGGAAGGCCGCGCGUGGCAUGGGCAGAGCGCGGAAUCCUGGCUCCACUGCCCACCUGCCGGUUGACUUUAGGCGACGCCAACCCCAGGCUGGUGAGGAGUCCCUGAAAUAUAAGGCACGGGAGCCACCCGGAGCCACCCGACCUGCCACGUUAAGCAGCAUGAGGGACCGAAAGAUGAGUCUGGGCCAGUCUCUUAGGAGCUUCUGGUCUCGCAGAGAGGCGGGAGAUUACUCCGAAAAGCACAGCGGCAACAGACUAUAAAUUCCCCAAGAGAAGUUUCCAAGAGCAAAAGCAGCUGAAGAACUGUGAACUAGAUUCAGGUGCUUUUCCUUUCACUUACAGCAAAUGAG
rnacentral:antisense_RNA from 1 species